CAGUAGCCGCGGGAAAACGAAGGGGGCUAGCGUUGCUCGGAAUGACUGGGCGUAAAGGGCGCGUAGGCGGUGCGGAUAGUCAGAUGUGAAAUUCCUGGGCUUAACCUGGGGGCUGCAUUUGAUACGUCCGCGCUUGAGUGUGGAAGAGGGUCGUGGAAUUCCCGGUGUAGAGGCGAAAUUCGUAGAUAUUGGGAAGAACACCGGUGGCGAAGGCGGCGACCUGGUCCAUAACUGACGCUGAGGCGCGAAAGCGUGGGGAGCAAACAGGAUUAGAGACCCCUGUAGUCCCUGUCUCUUAUAC
rnacentral:rRNA from 1 species